GCAAGUCGAACGCAGAAAGCGAUUUCGGUCGUGAUUAUGAGUGGCGGACGGGUGAGUAACGCGUGAGAAUCUGCCCUUAGGUCGGGGAUAACAGUUGGAAACGACUGCUAAUACCGGAUGUGCCGAGAGGUGAAAGAUUUAUUGCCUGAGGAUGAUCUCGCGUCUGAUUAGCUAGUUGGUAGUGUAAUGGACUACCAAGGCGACGAUCAGUAGCCGACCUGAGAGGGUGAUC
rnacentral:rRNA from 1 species